rnacentral:lncRNA from 10 species
CGGAGUCUCGCUCCGUCCCCCAGGCGGGAGUGCAGUGGCGCGAUCUCGGCUCACUGCAAGCUCCGCCUCCCGGGUUCACGCCAUCUUGCCACUAAACCUGAUUUACCAACAUAACCUGUUUCUGGCCAUGCUGUGAAUCUGCAUUCUUUACUGUGUCCUUGGGAUACUAGGUCUCUGAUCAAGUGCCACAUCUUUAGAGAAGCUUUUCCAAACAACCACUCUGGUAACCACCAAUCUACACUCUAUUUUCAUGAGAUCCAGUUUUAUAGCUCCCACAUGUAACUUUUCAGACAUGAAUUGGAAUAAGAUAAGGCCAACUUGCUCAACUACAUUCCUUACUAAAACAUAAUAACUAAAAGCUACAGUGUGCAUUUCAUGUUUCACAUGUUCUGUUGCAGUGCCAAGACUAGGUUUAAGCAAUUCAGCUGCACAGUUACCAACCACUUCUUCUUGGAAGAUUUACCUACAAUCUAACUGAUAUACUUAACAAAAUUAUAUUUUUAAUAUUGAUUGUACAAUUUUUUACUCCUUAAUUGUAUCUGACAGCUUCUUAUACUUUAAACUUGAUCAACAGUAAAUUGUGAAGAGAGUAACUAUACACCACAUGGCUUGACAAUAUCCAAACAUCAUUCUUGUUCUACAAAAGUUACAAAUGGU